GACGAACGCUGGCGGCGUGCCUAAUACAUGCAAGUAGGACGCAGUCGCGAACGGGUGAGUAACGCGUAGGUUACUACAUAUUAGUGGGGGAUAACUACUGGAAACGAUACCUAAUACCGCAUAUUAGUACAUGGCCCUGCGUUGUUUUAGCUAGUAGGUAGGGUAAUGGGCUACCUAGGCAACGAUACAUAGACGACCUGAAGAGGUGAUCGGCCAAAAUGGGACUGAGACACGGCCCCGACCCCUACGGGAGGCAGAAGUAGGAGAGCGUCGGCAAUGGGAGGAACCCUGACCGAGCAACGCCGCGUGAGUGAAGAAGGUUUUCGGAUCGUAAAGCUCUUUGGUUAAGGAAGCGGUACUUAACCAGAAAGGGACGGCUAACUACGUGCCAGCAGCCGCGGUAAUUC
rnacentral:rRNA from 1 species